GGCAAAGGACGAGACACCAGUGCCUGU
rnacentral:piRNA from 1 species